GGAGAGGUGGCAGAGUGGUUGAAUGCGGCGGUCUCGAAAACCGUUUCUGAAUUAACUCAGACGAGGGUUCGAAUCCCUCCCUCUCCGCUA
rnacentral:tRNA from 1 species